GUGGGGAAUAUUGGACAAUGGGGGCAACCCUGAUCCAGCCAUGCCGCGUGAAUGAUGAAGGCCUUCGGGUUGUAAAGUUCUUUUGGAGGGGACGAUGAUGACGGUACCCUCAGAAUAAGCUCCGGCUAACUUCGUGCCAGCAGCCGCGGUAAUACGAAGGGAGCUAGCGUUGUUCGGAAUUACUGGGCGUAAAGGGCGCGUAGGCGGUUUGGUUAGUCAGAUGUGAAAGCCCAGGGCUUAACCCUGGAACUGCGUUUGAUACUGCCAAGCUUGAAUUCGGGAGAGGUGAGUGGAAUUCCCAGUGUAGAGGUGAAAUUCGUAGAUAUUGGGAAGAACACCGGUGGCGAAGGCGGCUCACUGGACCGACAUUGACGCUGAGGCGCGAAAGCGUGGGGAGCAAACAGGAUUAGAUACCCCAGUAGUCC
rnacentral:rRNA from 1 species